GAACUUGUUGGUGGACCAGUCUGUUGUUUGUAUUAGACAUGUACUGUUACCUGAGAUAAAAGCAGUAACUGAAAAGGAGAAAGGAUCAGAUAACCCAAAUGAGGAAUCUUCCAGAGUGCAGAUGAUGAAGUUUUUGUGAGUGAGGUAUAAGAUCUGUCUCUUGUAAGACCUGUUUUAAGAAUUUAACCCAGGCAGUUGUUUACAACCAAGUUAGAUCUCAAGCAUAGCAAAGGAAUCGUACAAUCUGUGAAUUCAGUUUAAUUACUGAGAUCAAGGAUGAUGAAACAUUCAUUAUGAUUAUACAGAGCUACAAAGAGUUAUGUCGAGAAUCCAAAUUAUCAUAAUGAAUUGAGACGAGACAACAUCUGGGUGAAAAUUGAGGAAAAACGCAGAUAAAAGGCAUUUUUAUAUUAACGUUAUCCAAUGUUUUUAUCAAAUCGUCACAUAGAUAAUAUUUCUCUACGCAUAAUACUAAAAUUAAAAAGGUCAGGUUAAAACAAUUUUAAUUAUCCAUCGCGUGUGAAAAACAGUGCUUCGCAUGGCUUCGGCUUCGGCGCGCUUCGCUCAAGUGCUCAACAUGCUUUAAAUUUUUGCGAAGCGCCAAAAUGUCAUUGGAUUAAUUACAUGUAUUUUGAUUCUUCGCGUUACUUCGCUUUAAUCCGUGGGUCUGCAUUUUUAUACAUAGAUACCAUUGAUCCAAUUCACAUUUUUUCGCCGCGCUUCGAAUAAGUUCGCGACAAAACUUUGGCAGUUGUAUUUUAUAUUAUUUAAUGCUAUUGUAUUGAUUUAUAAUUAUUAUUAUAUUUAUAUGAACAAGUUAAGUAUAGCAGUGCCGUGCGAGCCUUCGUCUGAAGAAGAAAUUUUAUUUAUUGUAUAAUUUGUAUUAUUUACUUUUUUUAAUAAAGUUAUUACUAAUAAUAAUUAUUCAACAUAUCCAGUUAAUUAUUUUUAUUUUAUUAACUAUAGCUGUUUUUUCAAUCUAUUUCAUAUUUUUUGAUGAGGAUAAGUUAAUUCUAAAUGAAACGUCACCUGUUUGAGAACAAUACGAUAUAAUGGA